AUUGAACGCUGGCGGCAUGCCUUACACAUGCAAGUCGAACGGCAGCACGGGUGCUUGCACCUGGUGGCGAGUGGCGAACGGGUGAGUAAUAUAUCGGAACGUACCCUAGAGUGGGGGAUAACGCAGCGAAAGUUGCGCUAAUACCGCAUACGAUCUACGGAUGAAAGUGGGGGAUCGCAAGACCUCAUGCUCAUGGAGCGGCCGAUAUCUGAUUAGCUAGUUGGUGGGGUAAAAGCCUACCAAGGCAUCGAUCAGUAGCUGGUCUGAGAGGACGACCAGCCACACUGGAACUGAGACACGGUCCAGACUCCUACGGGAGGCAGCAGUGGGGAAUUUUGGACAAUGGGCGCAAGCCUGAUCCAGCAAUGCCGCGUGAGUGAAGAAGGCCUUCGGGUUGUAAAGCUCUUUUGUCAGGGAAGAAACGGUGAGGGCUAAUAUCCUUUGCUAAUGACGGUACCUGAAGAAUAAGCACCGGCUAACUACGUGCCAGCAGCCGCGGUAAUACGUAGGGUGCAAGCGUUAAUCGGAAUUACUGGGCGUAAAGCGUGCGCAGGCGGUUAUGUAAGUCAGAUGUGAAAUCCCCGGGCUCAACCUGGGAAUGGCAUUUGAGACUGCAUGGCUAGAGUGUGUCAGAGGGGGGUAGAAUUCCACGUGUAGCAGUGAAAUGCGUAGAUAUGUGGAGGAAUACCGAUGGCGAAGGCAGCCCCCUGGGAUAACACUGACGCUCAUGCACGAAAGCGUGGGGAGCAAACAGGAUUAGAUACCCUGGUAGUCCACGCCCUAAACGAUGUCUACUAGUUGUCGGGUCUUAAUUGACUUGGUAACGCAGCUAACGCGUGAAGUAGACCGCCUGGGGAGUACGGUCGCAAGAUUAAAACUCAAAGGAAUUGACGGGGACCCGCACAAGCGGUGGAUGAUGUGGAUUAAUUCGAUGCAACGCGAAAACCUUACCUACCCUUGACAUGUACGGAAGCCACGAGAGAUCGAGGUGUGCUCGAAAGAGAACCGUAACACAGGUGCUGCAUGGCUGUCGUCAGCUCGUGUCGUGAGAUG
rnacentral:rRNA from 1 species